rnacentral:rRNA from 1 species
AGAGUUUGAUCAUGGCUCAGAUUGAACGCUGGCGGCAUGCUUUACACAUGCAAGUCGAACGGCAGCACGGGGUGGUAACACCCUGGUGGCGAGUGGCGAACGGGUGAGUAAUAUAUCGGAACAUGUCCGGAAGUGGGGGAUAGCUCGGCGAAAGCCGGAUUAAUACCGCAUAUGCCCUGAGGGGGAAAGGAGGGGAUCCGCAAGGACCUUUCGCUUUCGGAGUGGCCGAUAUCGGAUUAGCUAGUUGGUGAGGUAAAGGCUCACCAAGGCGACGAUCCGUAGCUGGUCUGAGAGGACGACCAGCCACACUGGAACUGAGACACGGUCCAGACUCCUACGGGAGGCAGCAGUGGGGAAUUUUGGACAAUGGGGGAAACCCUGAUCCAGCCAUGCCGCGUGAGUGAAGAAGGCCUUCGGGUUGUAAAGCUCUUUCAGACGGAAAGAAACGGUUACGGCUAAUACCCGUGACUAAUGACGGUACCGUCAGAAGAAGCACCGGCUAACUACGUGCCAGCAGCCGCGGUAAUACGUAGGGUGCGAGCGUUAAUCGGAAUUACUGGGCGUAAAGCGUGCGCAGGCGGUUUUGUAAGACAGACGUGAAAUCCCCGGGCUUAACCUGGGAACUGCGUUUGUGACUGCAAGGCUAGAGUACGGCAGAGGGGGGUAGAAUUCCACGUGUAGCAGUGAAAUGCGUAGAUAUGUGGAGGAAUACCGAUGGCGAAGGC